rnacentral:rRNA from 1 species
AUGAAGGCCAGACUAAAGAUCUUGCCUGACGAGCCGAGAGGUAUUGCAUGGCCAUCGUCAGCUCGUGGUGUGAAAAACUUUUUGAGAAAAAAAGUUUUAUCAAAAACUUGCACUCGAAAAGUUUACACAAACUGUCCUGUUAAGUCAGGUAACGAGCGAGACCCAUACCCUUAGUUACUAACUUCUUCUCCGGAAGAGGUGUACUCUAAGGGGACUGCCCGCGCUAAGUGGGAGGAAGGAGUGGGCGACGGUAGGUCAGUAUGGUCCGAAACCCUUGGGCUACACGCGGCAUACAGUGGAUGGAACAAUGGGUAGCAACUUCGAAAGGAGGAGCAAAUCCUCUAAAUCCAUCCGUAGUUCGGAUUGAGGGUUGCAACUCACCCUCAUGAAGAUGGAAUGGCUAGUAAUCGCGUGUCACUAUCACGCGGUGAAUGUGUCCCCGCUCCUUGCACACACCGCCCGUCAAGUCACCCAAAUGUUUUUUCGGUGAGGCCCCGGUUUAUGCCGGGUUCGAACCGGGAGGGCGUGAGGGGGGCUAAGUCGUAACAAGGUAUCCGUAGGGGAACCUGCGGAUAGAUCACCUCCA